rnacentral:rRNA from 1 species
UACGUAGGGCGCAAGCGUUAUCCGGAAUUAUUGGGCGUAAAGAGCUCGUAGGCGGUUUGUCGCGUCUGCUGUGAAAACUGGAGGCUCAACCUCCAGCCUGCAGUGGAUACGGGCAGACUAGAGGUAGGUAGGGGAGAAUGGAAUUCCCGGUGUAGCGGUGAAAUGCGCAGAUAUCAGGAGGAACACCGGUGGCGAAGGCGGGUCUCGUGGGCCGAUGACUGACGCUGAGGCACGAAAGCGUGGGGAGCAAACAGG